AUGCUUGUCUCAAAGAUUAAGCCAUGCAUGUCUAAGUAUAAGCAAUUAUACAGCGAAACUGCGAAUGGCUCAUUAUAUAAGUUAUCGUUUAUUUGAUAGUGCCUUUCCUACUUGGAUAACUGUGGCAAUUCUAGAGCUAAUACAUGCUAAAAAUCCCGACUUCGGAAGGGAUGUAUUUAUUAGAUUAAAAACCAAUGCCCUUCGGGGCUCUCUGGUGAUUCAUGAUAACUCCACGGAUCGCACGGCCUUGCGCCGGCGAUGGUUCAUUCAAAUUUCUUCCCUAUCAACUUUCGAAGUUUGGGUCUUGGCCAAACUUGGUUUCAACGGGUAACGGAGGGUUAGGGCUCGACCCCGGAGAAGGAGCCUGAGAAACGGCUACUACAUCCAAGGAAGGCAGCAGGCGCGCAAAUUACCCAAUCCCGAUUCGGGGAGGUAGUGACAAUAAAUACUGAUACAGGGCUCUUUUGGGUCCUGUAAUUGGAAUGAGUACAAUUUAAAUCCCUUAACGAGGAACAAUUGGAGGGCAAGUCUGGUGCCAGCAGCCGCGGUAAUUCCAGCUCCAAUAGCGUAUAUUAAAGUUGUUGAGGUUAAAAAGCUCGUAGUUGAACCUUGGGCCUGGCUGGCCGGUCCGCCUCACCGCGUGCACUGGUCCGGCCGGGUCUUUCCCUCUGUGGAACCCCAUGCCCUUCACUGGGUGUGGCGGGGAAACAGGACUUUUACUUUGAAAAAAUUAGAGUGCUCCAGGCAGGCCUUUGCUCGAAUACAUUAGCAUGGAAUAAUAGAAUAGGACGUGUGGUUCUAUUUUGUUGGUUUCUAGGACCGCCGUAAUGAUUAAUAGGGACAGUCGGGGGCGUCAGUAUUCCAUAGUCAGAGGUGAAAUUCUUGGAUCUAUGGAAGACUAACUACUGCGAAAGCAUUCGUCAAGGAUGUUUUCAUUAAUCAGGAACGAAAGUUAGGGGAUCGAAGACGAUCAGAUACCGUCGUAGUCUUAACCAUAAACUAUGCCGACUAGGGAUCGGACGGUGUUAUUUAUGACCCGUUCGGCACCUUACGAGAAAUCAAAAUGCUUGGGCUC
rnacentral:rRNA from 1 species